UACAGAGGGUGCAAGCGUUGCUCGGAAUUAUUGGGCGUAAAGGGUAGGUAGGUGGUCUCAUUUGUCUGGGGUGAAAGCCUUGAGCUUAACUCAAGAAGUGCCCCGGAAACGGUGAGACUGGAGUCCUGGAGAGGGUCGUGGAAUUCCCGGUGUAGCGGUGAAAUGCGUAGAGAUCGUGAGGAAGACCCGUGGCGAAGGCGGAUCUCUGGACGGCUAAAACUGACGCUGAGGCGCGAAGGCCAGGGGAGCAAACGGG
rnacentral:rRNA from 1 species